rnacentral:tRNA from 1 species
GGGCGUGUGGUGUAGUGGUAUCACGCCUGAUUUGCAACAUACGAGUAUGAUUAGCUUCAGGCGGCCCAGAGUUCGAUCCUCUGCGCGUCCA